UGGAAGCGGAUGCCCGUUGGACGUCCCGACAGAAACAAGAUACCACCUGAAGGAUGGCUCCCACAUGACGGGAGGCAUGGAGUUGAUCCUUGGCGGUUUCCGACCAUCGCCUACUGUUGGGAGUUCACGAAUGUGUACACAGGCAGCUCGGUUGCGCGAUACAAAUGCUACAUGAACGAUCUAGAUAUGUUGACUCAUAAGCAGGUCGAUUGGAUGCCAUAUGAUGGCGAGUGUGAUUUCAGGAUGAACAAGAUGUGCACGCGUGACAGGAAUAUUUGGCGGGCGAGAUGCCCACUGAUAUGCUUCUAUGUUGUCGAGUGGCACUACCCAGACCGUGUCGCAAGACAAUUUGGGAGAAGGCAAGGGACACCAAGGGAUGAGAGUUAUGAGACAAACCAAUAUCUGCAUCGCAUUAGUUGAAAGAAUAACCCGGAAACUUCGACUUGGGCCAUCAAGCACUCCGAGUGGAUAGCUUUGUGGAAUCAAAGAGCGGACCUAGUGGAGAAGGAAAGAAGACUCCAUACUGAUUCAUUAUAUGAAGAGCAUCUGAAGUGGCUUGCGGGACAUUACCGGUUGAAGCUAAAGCCCGGUUGGAAGCGUUCGUAAUUGGAAGAGUUGAAUCGUGAGGGCGGGUACAUAGACUUCAAUGUACAAACGAGAUACAACGAAGGGACACAACUUGACUACGCACAAUUACACGACCGAGUGGGCAUGGAGUUAUUGCAUUGUGUUAACGAGGCUGGUGUAGCACUUGGUGAAGAUGAUGGAAGUGAAUUAACGAAGAAAUCUCUUAGGAAAACAAUGAAGAGUUUCGUGAGUCGGUUCCACAAGAUGGCAGCUAUGCUCUCUUGCCACAGAGGUAAAGCCGUCCUCACGGAUGGAGCUUCUAGUAGCCGAGACAAUAGACGGCGUCGUCGUCUUGUGUUGCAUCAGGAAGAGCAAGAGGAAGUGUAAGAGGAGCAAGAGGAAGUGCAAGAUGAGCAAGAGGAAGAGGAAGAGGAGUACAAUCAAUGUGAAGAGGAGGAGGUGCUUGGGAUGUCUGAAAUGGAUGAUGCGCCGCAGCCAUCGCAGCCCACACAAUGCACACCGCGCAGCAAAAUAGGAAGGAUGAAGAAGUGAAUUAGUUUAUAUUAGAUUCUCGCGAACUUUAGAAGUGGCGUGAACUCUAUGUUAAAUUUGCUAACUGAGACUUGUGUUAAAUUUGCUACUUGAGACCUGGAACCCCUUGAUGUUGCAUGUAACUAAUGAAUUUGGGUGUUCUGUAAAAGGGGUAGACGGCA